UCUCUAGUGGUCUAGUGGCUAAGACUCCACACUCCCAGUGCAGGGGGCCCAGGUUCGAGCCCUGGUCAGGGAG
rnacentral:tRNA from 1 species